rnacentral:lncRNA from 1 species
AAUUUUUAAAUAUUAAGUUAAUCUACUUUAAGUUAGGUCAGGAUGUUAGUCAAAUUGAUUCUCGUGAAGCGAAAUAGGCCAAGUAACAAAGGGGUGGAGGAAGUAUAUAUGAAGGGGAGCUGUGACGUAACUUGUAAAGUUGUUGUCAUGUGACUAGGAGGUUGCGGGUUCAAGUCGUGGAAACAACCUCUUAAAGAAAUGCAAUGCAGGAUAAGGUUGUGUCCAAUAUACCCUUGUGGUCCGAAUUUUUCCGGACUCCGCACAAAGUGGGAGCUUUAGUGCAUUUGUCUGUCUCUAUUUGUGUGUGUAUAUGUGUGUGUAUGUAUGUAUUUUACAUCAUUUUGUGUACAUGAUGAAUGUUAUUGUUAGUAGCUAAAUGAUUAUUGCUAUGAGGCAAAUUGAGUUUUUAGAGACAGUGGGUUUUAGAGGCGGAGUCAGUAUUUCAACUUUUAUGUGUUUUGGAUUUUAAAUGGCGACUUUAGUUGAUAGUAGCCCGUUUUUACUUGCCUUGGUGAGGGAUGUUUUGACAUGAUGUAUUCAAGGGGAGGUGCAUUGGGUGGUGUAUGUUAUUUGCUGAUAAUGUUGUACUAAUUGAUGAGACUCGGAGAGAAGUUAAUGCUAAGUUGGAGGUUUGGCGACAGGCCCUAGAGUCUAAAGGGUUUUGGUUGAGCAGGACUAAGACUGAGUACUUGGAAUGUAAGUUCGUCAUUCCCCUGAAUCAUAUAUCUAAGAUACUUAAAACUAUCCCUCUUUCGAAUGGCCUGAUAAUCUAGCUUUAUUACCACAUCGACCUCAUGCGUCGAAUUGCUGAACUUACAUUCCAAGUACUCAGUCUUAGUCCUGAUCAACCAAAACCCUUUAGACUCUAGGGUCUGUCGCCAAACCUCCAACUUAGCAUUAACUCCUCUCUGAGUCUCGUCAAUUAGUACAACAUUAUCAGCAACAUCAAACACCUAAUAGGCACUAAAAAUAGAGAACCCAAAUUCCUGUUCUUCGUCAUCACACAAUUUGCUUAAAUCCCUAAGCACUAAGGGUUGGUGUUUCCACGAUGUCAAUUUCGUAAAUUCACUCAUUCCACCUCAAUCAUCAUGCAUUGUUGAUUCUUUUGAAUCAAAGCUGUUAAAUAUGGACUUGCGAUCCAUCGGUGGAAAAUCAUUGCCUGAAUUUUCACUUCUUCAUAAAUCUCCUCAUAUUCAUGGCCCUAAAGUUCUUCAAGUAAUUAUCUUCCCUUCUGAAGAUAUAUUUUUUAAUCAUAUUAACAUGAUAAUGAUUGCAACUUAUAAUACUUUUCAUAUAGUUUAUGAUAUCUAAAUUCGGAAAAGUGAUAUAUAUACUCCCGAACUAUGAUAAAUGGUACGUAUAUACCCUCCGUCAUACUUUGGGUAUACAUAUGCCCCUAUCGUUAGUGUGAGGGGCACAUACAUACCAUUUUAUUAACGGUAGGGCCAUAUGUGUACCCAUAGUAUGACGGAGGGUAUAUACUUAUCACUUAUCAUAGUUCGAGGGUAUAUUUGUCCCUUUUCCGAUCUAAAUUUUUAAAUAUUAAGUUAAUCUACUUUAAGUUAGGCCAAGAUGUUAGUCAAAUUAAUUCUCGUGAAGUGAAAUAGGCCAAGUUAAAAAGGGGUGGAGGGAGUAUAUAUGAAGGGGAGCUGUGACGUAACCUGUAAGGUUAUUGUCAUGUGACUAGGAGGUUACGGGUUCAAGUUGUGUAAACAACCUCUUAAAGAAAUGCAAUGCAGGAUAAGAUUGUGUACAAUAGACCUUUGUGGUCCGGACUUUUCCGGACUCCAUACAAAGUGGGAGCUUUAGUGCAUUUGUGUGUGUGUGUGUGUGUGUAUAUAUAUAUGUAUGUAUGUAUUUUGCAUCAUUUUGUGUAAAUGGUGAAUGUUAAUGUUAGUAGCUAAAUAAUUAUUGCUAUGAGGCAAAUUGAGUUUUAAGAGUCAGUGGGUUUUAGAGGCGGAGUCAGUAUUUCAACUUUUAUGUGUUUUGGAUUUUAAAUGGCGAUUUCAGUUGAUAGUAGCCCAUUUUUAUUUGCCUUGGUGAUGGAUGUUUUGACACGAUGUAUACAAGGGGAGGUGCAUUGGUUGGUGUAUGUUAUUUGCUGUGAUGUCAAUUUCGUAAAUUCACUCAUUCCACCUCAAUCAUCAUGCAUUGUUGAUUCUUUUGAAUCAAAGCUGUUAAAUAUGGACUUGCGAUCCAUCGGUGGAAAAUCAUUGCCUGAAUUUUCACUUCUUCAUAAAUCUCCUCAUAUUCAUGGCCCUAAAGUUCUUCAAGUAAUUAUCUUCCCUUCUGAAGAUAUAUUUUUUAAUCAUAUUAACAUGAUAAUGAUUGCAACUUAUAAUACUUUUCAUAUAGUUUAUGAUAUCUAAAUUCGGAAAAGUGAUAUAUAUACUCCCGAACUAUGAUAAAUGGUACGUAUAUACCCUCCGUCAUACUUUGGGUAUACAUAUGCCCCUAUCGUUAGUGUGAGGGGCACAUACAUACCAUUUUAUUAACGGUAGGGCCAUAUGUGUACCCAUAGUAUGACGGAGGGUAUAUACUUAUCACUUAUCAUAGUUCGAGGGUAUAUUUGUCCCUUUUCCGAUCUAAAUUUUUAAAUAUUAAGUUAAUCUACUUUAAGUUAGGCCAAGAUGUUAGUCAAAUUAAUUCUCGUGAAGUGAAAUAGGCCAAGUUAAAAAGGGGUGGAGGGAGUAUAUAUGAAGGGGAGCUGUGACGUAACCUGUAAGGUUAUUGUCAUGUGACUAGGAGGUUACGGGUUCAAGUUGUGUAAACAACCUCUUAAAGAAAUGCAAUGCAGGAUAAGAUUGUGUACAAUAGACCUUUGUGGUCCGGACUUUUCCGGACUCCAUACAAAGUGGGAGCUUUAGUGCAUUUGUGUGUGUGUGUGUGUGUGUAUAUAUAUAUGUAUGUAUGUA